rnacentral:lncRNA from 1 species
UCGUUUCAUUGUCGUUGCUGUGCUUCUUCAUCUCAUCAUCACAGUUUCGCCAAAUCGCGCCGUCGUCUAGAGCCACUAUACCCCAUCGCGAUGCGUCUCCGUCCAACGCGCUUGAAUCGUACCACCAUCGUUGUUGAUUUCCAUGCUACAAGUCUACAACCACCAAUUUUGGUCUUGGUAAGGUAACCACCAAAUAGUUGUCUUGCCAUUCUUCUUCUUCAUUUUGAUAUCAUUAUUUUCAUGGAAACUUAUAUAUAUAGAUUAAUGGUUAAUACAAUUCUUAACCAAUCUAUUUUCGUUGAAUACAGGCAACAAACAACAUAUGCUGGUGAAGAAGUGAAGUGUUGGAGAAGAAGAAGAAAAUUGAACAAAUUUGUUGAAGAAGAAGAAGAAGAAAAUGAUCAAUGGAUAAAAGAAAAAGAGAUAGAGGAAUAAGAAAUUAAUCGAAUAAAACAAAUAAGACGGAAAGAAAGAACUCUCACAAGUAAAAAGAAGAAAAGAAAAAGAAAAUAAGAAAAGAAUUUUAUUCAUACGAAAUUUUGUAUGUUUUUAAAUUAUUUUGAUAUAAAAUUUGAAAAUAAAUCAAA